rnacentral:rRNA from 1 species
GACGAACGCUGGCGGCGUGCCUAAUACAUGCAAGUCGAGCGAAUCGACAGGUGCUUGCACCUGUCAGUUAGCGGCGGACGGGUGAGUAACACGUAAGGAACCUGCCUCAAGGAUUGGGAUAACUCCGAGAAAUCGGAGCUAAUACCGGAUAGUUCAACGGACCGCAUGGUCCGCUGAUGAAAGGCGCUCCGGCGUCACCUUGAGAUGGCCUUGCGGUGCAUUAGCUAGUUGGUGGGGUAACGGCCAACCAAGGCGACGAUGCAUAGCCGACCUGAGAGGGUGAUCGGCCACACUGGGACUGGGACACGGCCCAGACUCCUACGGGAGGCAGCAGUAGGGAAUCUUCCACAAUGGACGAAAGUCUGAUGGAGCAACGCCGCGUGAGUGAUGAAGGUUUUCGGAUCGUAAAACUCUGUUGUAAGGGAAGAACACGUACGAGAGGAAAUGCUCGUACCUUGACGGUACCUUACGAGAAAGCCACGGCUAACUACGUGCCAGCCGCCGCCGUAACAC